rnacentral:rRNA from 1 species
CAUCGCUUAUUGUUAGUAUAAUAGGUCUAGUCUGCCCACUGAAAAGAAUUGAAGGGCCGCAGUAUUUUGACUGUGCAAAGGUAGCAUAAUCAUUAGUCUUCUAAUUAAAGGCUGGAAUGAAUGGCUGAACGAGGUAUUAACUGUCUCACUUAAAUAAGAUGAAUUUAAAUUUUUAGUGAAAAGGCUAAAAUGUGGUUAGAGGACGAGAAGACCCUAUAGAGCUUUAUAAAUUUAUAAUGAUAUUGUUUGGGAGAUUUAAAAUAUAUUUAUAGUUUAUUUUGUUGGGGUGAUAAAUGGAUAAAUUAACUCUAUUGUAAUUGACCAUUGAUGAAUGAAUAAGGGAUCCAUUAUUAAUGAUUAAAAAUUAAGUUACCUUAGGGAUAACAGCGUAAUCUUUUUAGAGAGUUCAAAUCGAUAAAAGGGUUUGCGACCUCGAUGUUGGACUAAGGUAAAUUUUGGGUGCAGCAAUUCAAAU